rnacentral:rRNA from 1 species
AGAGAGUUUCGUAGUCCUGGGCUCAGGAUGAGCGCUGGCGGCGUGCUUAACACAUGCAAGUCGAACGGUGAACACGGAGCUUGCUCUGUGGGAUCAGUGGCGAACGGGUGAGUAACACGUGAGCAACCUGCCCCUGACUCUGGGAUAAGCGCUGGAAACGGCGUCUAAUACUGGAUACGAGUAGCGACCGCAUGGUCAGUUACUGGAAAGAUUUAUUGGUUGGGGAUGGGCUCGCGGCCUAUCAGCUUGUUGGUGAGGUAAUGGCUCACCAAGGCGUCGACGGGUAGCCGGCCUGAGAGGGUGACCGGCCACACUGGGACUGAGACACGGCCCAGACCCCUACGGGAGGCAGCAGUGGGGAAUAUUGCACAAUGGACGCAAGCCUGAUGCAGCAACGCCGCGUGAGGGAUGACGGCCUUCGGGUUGUAAACCUCUUUUAGCAGGGAAGAAGCGAAAGUGACGGUACCUGCAGAAAAAGCGCCGGCUAACUACGUG